AUGCACGCUGGCGGCGUGCCUAAUGCAUGCAAGUCGCGCGAACAGACGAGGAGCUUGCUCCUCUGACGUUAGCGGCGGACGGGUGAGUAACACGUGGAUAACCUACCUAUAAGACUGGGAUAACUUCGGGAAACCGGAGCUAAUACCGGAUAAUAUAUUGAACCGCAUGGUUCAAUAGUGAAAGACGGUUUUGCUGUCACUUAUAGAUGGAUCCGCGCCGCAUUAGCUAGUUGGUAAGGUAACGGCUUACCAAGGCAACGAUGCGUAGCCGACCUGAGAGGGUGAUCGGCCACACUGGAACUGAGACACGGUCCAGACUCCUACGGGAGGCAGCAGUAGGGAAUCUUCCGCAAUGGGCGAAAGCCUGACGGAGCAACGCCGCGUGAGUGAUGAAGGUCUUCGGAUCGUAAAACUCUGUUAUUAGGGAAGAACAAAUGUGUAAGUAACUAUGCACGUCUUGACGGUACCUAAUCAGAAAGCCACGGCUAACUACGUG
rnacentral:rRNA from 1 species